rnacentral:rRNA from 1 species
AUAGAGACUCAGAGCUGCAUAUCAAUAAGCGGAGGAAAAGAAACUAACUAGGAUUCCCUUAGUAACGGCGAGUGAAGCGGGAAGAGCUCAAAUUUGAAAUCUUCAAGGUUCUACCUUGACGAAUUGUAGUUUAAAGAAGUGUUUUCUGUUAGAUGAGUAGCAAAAGUUCCUUGGAAUGGGACAUCAUAGAGGGUGAGAAUCCCGUAUUUGGUUAUUCAUUCUAGCUUUGUGAUACACUUUCAAAGAGUCGGAUUGUUUGGGAAUGCAGUCCAAAAUGGGUGGUAAAUUUCAUCUAAAGCUAAAUAUUGGCGAGAGACCGAUAGCGAACAAGUACCGUGAGGGAAAGAUGAAAAGAACUUUGAAAAGAGAGUUAAACAGUACGUGAAAUUGUCAAAAGGGAAGCGUUUGACACCAGUGUUGUUUUCUCGAAAAUCAAUUACAAAUGGCAGUGAUUUUGUGUUGUAUUGACCUUAUCAGCUUUCUUCACUUUUUUCGAGUCUUUCUUAAUGCACUUUUCGGUUAACAAGUCAACAUCAAUUUCUUUUGUUGUAAAAGAGUAUUCGGAAGGUGGCUUUCUUUUCGGAGAAAGUGUUUAUAGCCCUAUACUUCUACAAUCGGAGAGAUUGAGGUCUGCAGCGUAGAUCCUUCGGGGUUAGAUACACUUGUGCUAAGUUGUAGCUUUUCAUAGACAACUUGUUGACUAUGUUUAGUCAUGCGGCUUACUCGCUUAUGCUAUUUUACCUACGCUUAGGAUGUUGAAGUCAUCGUAUCGCGC